rnacentral:sRNA from 14 species
UGGAAAUGUUUCAGAAUUAUACCUAGCUAUAGAUUUGUCCUGAGAAUGAAACAUUUUAUUUUUUACCACAAUGACUCCCAUAAGUUCAGCAUUCAACCACAAUGAGCUGUCAAGAGAGUGGUGUGUGUGUGUGUGUGUGUGUGUGUGUGUGUGGUGUUUUUUUCUGUCUCUGUAGUACAGUUUCGGCGGUUUUGUCCAC